UGGUCAUGGUGUCUUUUCCAGCAAUGGA
rnacentral:piRNA from 1 species